GACGAACGCUGGCGGCGCGCCUAACACAUGCAAGUCGAACGAGCGAGAGAGAGCUUGCUUUCUCAAGCGAGUGGCGAACGGGUGAGUAACGCGUGAGGAACCUGCCUCAAAGAGGGGGACAACAGUUGGAAACGACUGCUAAUACCGCAUAAGCCCACGACCCGGCAUCGGGUAGAGGGAAAAGGAGCAAUCCGCUUUGAGAUGGCCUCGCGUCCGAUUAGCUAGUUGGUGAGGUAACGGCCCACCAAGGCGACGAUCGGUAGCCGGACUGAGAGGUUGAACGGCCACAUUGGGACUGAGACACGGCCCAGACUCCUACGGGAGGCAGCAGUGGGGAAUAUUGCACAAUGGGGGAAACCCUGAUGCAGCGACGCCGCGUGGAGGUAGAAGGUCUUCGGAUUGUAAACUCCUGUUGUUGAGGAAGAUAAUGACGGUACUCAACAAGGAAGUGACGGCUAACUACGUG
rnacentral:rRNA from 1 species